rnacentral:rRNA from 1 species
UACGUAGGGGGCGAGCGUUGUCCGGAUUUAUUGGGCGUAAAGAGCGUGUAGGCGGCCAGGUAGGUCUGCUGUGAAAACUCGAGGCUCAACCUCGAGACGUCGGCGGAAACCAUCUGGCUAGAGUCCGGAAGAGGAGAGUGGAAUUCCUGGUGUAGCGGUGAAAUGCGCAGAUAUCGGGAGGAACACCGAUGGCGAAGGCAGGUCUCUGGGCAUUAACUGACGCUGAGGAGCGAAAGCAUGGGGAGCGAACAGG